GACGAACGCUGGCGGCGUGCUUAACACAUGCAAGUCGAACGGAAAGGCCCUGCUUUUGUGGGGUGCUCGAGUGGCGAACGGGUGAGUAACACGUGAGUAACCUGCCCUUGACUUUGGAAUAACUUCAGGAAACUGGGGCUAAUACCGGAUAGGAGCUCCUGCUGCAUGGUGGGGGUUGGAAAGUUUCGGCGGUUGGGGAUGGACUCGCGGCUUAUCAGCUUGUUGGUGGGGUAGUGGCUUACCAAGGCUUUGACGGGUAGCCGGCCUGAGAGGGUGACCGGCCACAUUGGGACUGAGAUACGGCCCAGACUCCUACGGGAGGCAGCAGUGGGGAAUAUUGCACAAUGGGCGGAAGCCUGAUGCAGCAACGCCGCGUGCGGGAUGACGGCCUUCGGGUUGUAAACCGCUUUCGCCUGUGACGAAGCGUGAGUGACGGUAAUGGGUAAAGAAGCACCGGCUAACUACGUGCCAGCAGCCGCGGUGAUACGUAGGGUGCGAGCGUUGUCCGGAUUUAUUGGGCGUAAAGGGCUCGUAGGUGGUUGAUCGCGUCGGAAGUGUAAUCUUGGGGCUUAACCCUGAGCGUGCUUUCGAUACGGGUUGACUUGAGGAAGGUAGGGGAGAAUGGAAUUCCUGGUGGAGCGGUGGAAUGCGCAGAUAUCAGGAGGAACACCAGUGGCGAAGGCGGUUCUCUGGGCCUUUCCUGACGCUGAGGAGCGAAAGCGUGGGGAGCGAACAGGCUUAGAUACCCUGGUAGUCCACGCUGUAAACGGUGGGUACUAGGUGUGGGGUCCAUUCCACGGGUUCCGUGCCGUAGCUAACGCUUUAAGUACCCCGCCUGGGGAGUACGGCCGCAAGGCUAAGACUCAAAGGAAUUGACGGGGCCCCGCACAAGCGGCGGAGCAUGCGGAUUAAUUCGAUGCAACGCGUAGAACCUUACCUGGGUUUGACAUGGAUCGGGAGUGCUCAGAGAUGGGUGUGCCUCUUUUGGGGUCGGUUCACAGGUGGUGCAUGGCUGUCGUCAGCUCGUGUCGUGAGAUGUUGGGUUAAGUCCCGCAACGAGCGCAACCCUUGUUCACUGUUGCCAGCACGUUAUGGUGGGGACUCAGUGGAGACCGCCGGGGUCAACUCGGAGGAAGGUGGGGAUGACGUCAAGUCAUCAUGCCCCUUAUGUCCAGGGCUUCACGCAUGCUACAAUGGCUGGUACAGAGAGUGGCGAGCCUGUGAGGGUGAGCGAAUCUCGGAAAGCCGGUCUCAGUUCGGAUUGGGGUCUGCAACUCGACCUCAUGAAGUCGGAGUCGCUAGUAAUCGCAGAUCAGCAACGCUGCGGUGAAUACGUUCCCGGG
rnacentral:rRNA from 1 species